UAAGGAAUAUUGGUCAAUGGACGCAAGUCUGAACCAGCCAUGCCGCGUGGAGGAUGACGGUCCUCUGGAUUGUAAACUUCUUUUCUCUGGGACGAAACCCCCGAUUUCUAUCGGGCCUGACGGUACCAGAGGAAUAAGCACCGGCUAACUCCGUGCCAGCAGCCGCGGUAAUACGGAGGGUGCAAGCGUUAUCCGGAUUCACUGGGUUUAAAGGGUGCGUAGGUGGGCAGAUAAGUCAGUGGUGAAAUCU
rnacentral:rRNA from 1 species